rnacentral:rRNA from 1 species
CCUACGGGUGGCAGCAGUGAGGGAUAUUGCACAAUGGUGGGAACACUGAUGCAGCGACGCAGCGUGGGUGAAGAAGCGCCUCGGCGCGUAAAGCUCUGUCAGCAGGGAAGAAAAUGACGGUACCUGAAGAAGAAGCACCGGCUAACUACGUGCCAGCAGCCGCGGUAAUACGUAGGGGGCAGGCGUUAUACGGAUUUACUGGGUGUAAAGGGGGCGCAGACGGCGAGGCAAGCGAGGAGUGAAAGCCCGGGGCCCAACCACGGGACUGCUGUUGGAACUGCGUGGCUGGAGUGCGGGAGGGGCAGGCGGAAUUCCUGGUGUAGCGGUGAAAUGCGUAGAUAUCAGGAGGAACACCGGUGGCGAAGGCGGCAUGCGGGACUGCAACUGACGUUGAGGCUCGAAGGCGUGGGGAGCGAACAGGAUUAGAUACCCGUGUAGUC